rnacentral:tRNA from 1 species
UAAGGAUUUAAGUUACAAAAACUGUCAACCUUCAAAGUUGAAAACAAAGUAAGCCUCUUUAAGCCUUAG